rnacentral:rRNA from 1 species
GAUGAACGCUGGCGGCGUGCUUAACACAUGCAAGUCGAACGAUGAAGCCCAGCUUGCUGGGUGGAUUAGUGGCGAACGGGUGAGUAACACGUGAGUAACCUGCCCUUAACUCUGGGAUAAGCCUGGGAAACUGGGUCUAAUACCGGAUAGGAGCGCCUACCGCAUGGUGGGUGUUGGAAAGAUUUAUCGGUUUUGGAUGGACUCGCGGCCUAUCAGCUUGUUGGUGAGGUAAUGGCUCACCAAGGCGACGACGGGUAGCCGGCCUGAGAGGGUGACCGGCCACACUGGGACUGAGACACGGCCCAGACUCCUACGGGAGGCAGCAGUGGGGAAUAUUGCACAAUGGGCGAAAGCCUGAUGCAGCGACGCCGCGUGAGGGAUGACGGCCUUCGGGUUGUAAACCUCUUUCAGUAGGAAAGAAGCGAAAGUGACGGUACCUGCAGAAGAAGCACCGGCUAACUACGU